GGCGGGGGCGGGCCAUGGCCCUGCUGUUGUACCUGGGCAUGACUGCGGCACUGGCCCGCGGCUGCCUGCACUGCCACGACAACUUCUCAGAGAAGUUCUCCUUCUACCGCCACCACGUAAACCUCAAGUCCUGGUGGGUGGGCGACAUCCCCGUUUCGGGGGCGCUACUCACCGACUGGAGCGAGGACACGAUGAGGGAACUGCACUUGGCCAUCCCGGCGGAGAUUACCCGGGAUAAGCUGGACCAAGUGGCGGAAGCAGUGUACCAGAGGAUGGAUCAGCUGUACCAGGGGAAGAUGUACUUCCCGGGGUAUUUCCCCAAUGAACUGCGAAGCAUCUUCCGGGACCAGGUGCACCUCAUCCAGAACGCCAUCAUUGAAAGCCGCAUUGAUUGUCAGCGUCACUGUGGCAUCUUCCAGUAUGAGACCAUCUCCUGCAACAACUGCACGGACUCACACGUCAUCUGCUUUGGCUACAACUGCGAGUCAUCAGCGCAGUGGGAGACAGCUGUGCGCGGCCUUCUCAGUUACAUAAAUAAUUGGCACAAGUAAGUCCCUCCUCAGACCCAGCACAAGUGUUGUCAGAGGCAGUAGGCCUGUGCGCGUUCCUGGACAGGACACCAGCAUGAGGUAAGGCUGCCCUCGACUUCUAGAGGGAAUGGACACAAUGGGUUCCUCUGGGCUGGGGACAGGGAUGUUGGACUGGUGGGUACCACGGGCAGGGCUGUCUCUGCACCUGGGAUAUGCCGGACCUGCUCUGCUACCACCCGAGUGGUAAUUUCAUGAACAUAUGGCUUCCUCCAUCUCCGCGCCUGGGACGUGCAGAACCACCCCAGCCUUCCUGAUAUCACCAAGCUUCACGUGCCUGGAGCCACAGCACCUGGCCAACUUGACCUUGGAAAAUGCCUCGGAGUGUCUGACCCAGCACUGAGGGCCACUACCUUGCCCCCAGCUGCAGUGGGGCAAGGGACUCAGCUGGACUUUCUCAGCCUGUCCCUCUGAUGCAGGCUUGCUGCUGCCUCUGGUCCCCCCUCCAAACCCAGAGAGCCCAGGAUGGGUCAGGGUGGGGGGCGGGGAAGGGAGAUGGGUUCGUGUCUAGCACCAGCCCUGGGCAGGGUCUCGGAGCUGUUUGAUAGGACGAUUAAAGUUCCCUGACAUUUCUCAUCCAAGAACAGUUCUUGCCAGGCAGGAGGGGUACCCGCCUGAGUAUGGCAGGUUCUGGCCUGCGGUCCACAGGCAGGAGUAACAGCCGGCCUGGGCCACUGCCACGGAGCCACUGUCAGGUCCAGGGAUUCCCGAACAUCCUACCUAGACUCCUGAACAUAUGUGGGCAGGGUCAUGGGAAGUCACACCAAGGAAGCCGUGGGUUCUUCUGAUGGCACAAGACGAGGCUGCGCCAGGUGAGAGCCAGGCCAGCUUUACUUUUUUGGGGGCUCUAGCCACUUAAGAUGGACGCAGGCCAAAGGAGCACAGCAGCUGCCGCAGUUUCUGCUGCAUCAUCGUUGGUCCGUGUUGUGACACCACAGCUGCAGUGGGCAGGCCCCUCUGGUGAAGGCCACCCUGCAGCAGGCAGGAGGGGCGGCUCUCACACCUACACCUGCGUAAUGCGGCAGAGCGCAUGCUCUUUCUGGGGACGGCUUGCGGCUCUGCUUAGCCUCCCCGUGAGCAUGUGCGGGGCCUGCAGGUGUCCUUGUGCUGUGGCAGGCCUCUCCCAGCCAGCCCUCCAUUCUGGGGGUCAGGGCCACUGGGAAUCGUACCACCUCAGCAGCUGGUCACUGACCCUAGGUCUACCUUUAGGGGCCCCUGUAGGGGUACUGACCAGGAGAUAAAGUGGAUUUUUGGAGAAACAGGAAGUUAAGACAGUGGAGUCUGGAGAAGGGGCCCGUCCUGGUGUGGGUUGGUUGGCAGCAUUUGGGGACUUUAGCUUUUUGACCAGUGUGAUGGCACUUGCCUGUCCUUGGGUCUACAUGGUGCUGUGCACUCUGCCUUCCUCAGCUGCGGCUCCUUCAGGGAAGAGUAGGUGAUAGCACUCUGUCGGUCGGGGCUGGAGGUUCCCUCGCCCACGAUCGCCCAUGACCGCCCCAGUACCAG